UUUCCAGCCGCCGCGGUAAUACGUAGGUGGCAAGCGUUGUCCGGAAUUAUUGGGCGUAAAGCGCGCGCAGGCGGUCCUUUAAGUCUGAUGUGAAAGCCCACGGCUCAACCGUGGAGGGUCAUUGGAAACUGGGGGACUUGAGUGCAGGAGAGAAGAGUGGAAUUCCACGUGUAGCGGUGAAAUGCGUAGAGAUGUGGAGGAACACCAGUGGCGAAGGCGACUCUUUGGCCUGUAACUGACGCUGAGGCGCGAAAGCGUGGGGAGCAAACAGGAUUAGAUACCCUCGAAGUCC
rnacentral:rRNA from 1 species